rnacentral:rRNA from 1 species
GAUGAACGCUAGCUACAGGCUUAACACAUGCAAGUCGAGGGGAAACGAUAUUCGAAGCUUGCUUCCGAUAGGCGUCGACCGGCGCACGGGUGAGUAACGCGUAUCCAACCUGCCCACCACUUUGGGAUAACCUUGCGAAAGUAAGACUAAUACCCAAUGAUAUCUCAAGAAGACAUCUGAAUGAGAUUAAAGAUUUAUCGGUGAUGGAUGGGGAUGCGUCUGAUUGGCUUGUUGGCGGGGUAACGGCCCACCAAGGCGACGAUCAGUAGGGGUUCUGAGAGGAAGGUCCCCCACAUUGGAACUGAGACACGGUCCAAACUCCUACGGGAGGCAGCAGUGAGGAAUAUUGGGCAAUGGGCGAGAGCCUGAACCAGCCAAGUAUCGUGCAGGAUGACGGCCCUAUGGGUUGUAAACUGCUUUUAUAAGGGAAUAAAGUGAGCCUCGUGAGGCUUUUUGCAUGUACCUUAUGGAUAAGGACCGGCUAAUUCCGUGCCAGCAGCCGCCGUAA